rnacentral:lncRNA from 1 species
UUUCAGACAGCGGUGCUAUGAUUCGGACCGUUGUUAGUUUUCUGAUACUUUGCUUACACUGUGAAGGUAAGUCUGAAACUAAAGCUAAGUAGGAUAUAUAUUAUUCGCCACUCAAAACAAAUAUGAUUAAUACUUUACAUGCACAAAUGUAAUUGCAUUCUAUAGACACAGAGGAGCUUUUGCCAAAUUUAGAUGUGGUCUUGCCCCACUAAGGAUUAAUACUUGGAGAUAUGAACAUAUAGUUUUAGAAAACAGAGUGUUUCAUAUAUGUGAUGGUUUUAUUAAAUACGAAUUUUAUGUUUUAUUAAGAUUUCCUCUUUAUGACGAUUUACGUUGCUGAAACAUUUAAUUAACAUUUUGAUACCUGACAACCAAACUUUAUAUUUUUAUUCUCAGAUGUAAAUAUGAUACGUGUGUGUACAAAAACCUGUUUAAUAUUCAAUGUUAAGAAGACCUUAAAUUUUAGUACUUUAUUUCAUAUUGUUUAAUGUAAUAUAUCUUCUGUACAUAUUAACAUAGUAUCUUAUAACUCUGUUUGGCCAUGAUGGUUUUCAUUUCAUGUAGUAUUGUUUUACAAUUUAUAAAUACCGGAAUAUACUUUGCUCGAAAUCAAAACAAUUUACUUACACAUAAGGGUAUGAGUAAAAGAGGGAAAAUAUAUGUAAUAAACGUGAUCCGACAAUGAAAAGUGACGUUUUGGUUAACUAAUCUAAAUUGAUAUCAGAACGGUAAAGCAAUUUAUCUAUAGUGCUGAAGUUUGAUAAAUGUGUAAAAUUAAUGUAAAAAAGUAAAAUAACAAAUAUUACCUACAAUAUCAAUGUAAUAACUUGAAUCCUUUUACAGUUAUUUCUAGUUACAAAAGAGUCUGCUUCUUCACGAACUGGUCACAAUAUCGAACCGGUAUUGGGAAGUAUACGGCGGAUAAAAUUGAUCCAUUUUUAUGUACGCAUGUAAUAUAUGCAUUUGCCAAAGUGUCUGGGAAUACUAUCCAGCCAUAUGAAGAAAAUGAC